CCGAGACAGCCCGCAGUCUGAUCUAGGUUAAAUAUCUGUAACUCCUUUAAACGUAUCUCCACGUUUGUCAUGUUGUGCAAGAAAAUUCAGCUCAAAAGGGAAAGAACAAACGAGGUGAAAAUACCAGCUGCUGAUCUCUAUUUCCCCAUAGUUCUCUCCGGACGCAGAUGACCCUUUUCAGCACAGACCUAUUGGAUCGGCCUUGAAUCACCACAUUGCUGAGAAGAGCCGAGUCCUUUCCGUUAUCUUCUUGUUUCUGGGUACAACGUUCUCCCGGUUCCGCUCGCCCCGCUCAUCAUCCGUUCUUGUACCUUCUUCCAGGCUUUUCCGAAACCAGCCCGUUCCUCAUUUCUUGGAGCACAACAGCGUCCGCGCCAUUCAUCCACCAUAACUCCCUCAGCCGCUCCCCCGCCGACGGCAGCCACUCCGUUUCCAGUUCCUUAUUCCUACAAAGAGGGCGGCCACAGACAUUUGUGCACACAUGGCGGUUUCUAUCCAAAGUACAUUGGGAUUGCCUUGGAUCACCGAACCAAGUCUUUCAUUGUCGAUCAUCACCCACUCUUGCUAUUAUUGUGUACAGUGUAUUCUGGUUCUGCGCGUUUCGCUCAGCAUCCGUUCAUAUAAAUCUUUCCAGGCCUUUCUAAAAUCAGCUUGUUAUAGGACAAUAAUAUUCCAUUACCUUCGUAUACCACAACUUGUUCAGCCAUUCCUCAAUUGAGGGACACCCACUCAUUUUCCAAUUCUUUGCUACCACACAAAGGGCCGUCACAAACAUUUUUGCACAUGUGGGUCCCUUUCCUUCCUUUAUGAUUUCCUUGUAAAACAGACCCACUAAUGGCACUGCUGGGUCAAAGGAUAUACACAGUUUGAUAGCCCUUUGGGGAUAAUUCCAGAUUGCUCUCCAGAAUGGAGAUCAGUUCACAACUCCACCAACAAUGCAUCAGUGUCCCAGUUUUCCCACAUCCCCUCCAACUUUUAUCAUUACCUUUUCCUGUCAUCUUAGCCAAUCUGAGAAGUGUGAGAUGGUACCUCAGAGUUGUUUUUUUUUUUAAUUGUGCAAAAACUUUUCAAUUUAAUGUAAUCAAAAUUAUUCAUUUUUUGUUAAAAAAAAAAAAAAAGCAUGUUCUGAAGUUCUCCUUUGGCCAUAAAUUCCUCCCUGCUCUACAGAUCUGAGAGCUAGACUAUCCCUUGCUCUCCUAAUUUGCUUAUAGUAUCACCCUUUAUGUCUAAAUCAUAAAUCUGUUUCAACCUCA